GAUGAAGAACGUAGCGAAAUGCGAUAAGUAAUGUGAAUUGCAGAAUUCAGUGAAUCAUCGAAUCUUUGAACGCAUCUUGCGCUCCUUGGUAUUCUGAGGAGCAUGCCUGUUUGAGUGUCAUUAAAUUCUCAACUACACUGACUUUGAAUUGGUGUGGCUUGGAUUUGGGGGGAAAAUUGUUGUGGGCUUUUUGUAUAGUCUGCUCCCCUGAAAUUGAUUAGCGGUACCUUUGUGGAACUGUCUACAGGUGUGAUAAUUAUCUACAUCUUAGACACCUGCUGGAAUGCUGCUUUCUAAACCUUACUUGUAUUGACAAUCUUGACCUCAAAUCAGGUAGGACUACCCGCUGAACUUAAGCAUAUCAAUAAGCGGAGGA
rnacentral:misc_RNA from 1 species